rnacentral:lncRNA from 1 species
GGUUAGUAGAGCCUCUCGGGCCAGGGACUCCCUGGUGUGCCUGUAUCCGAUGCCUUCCAUGGCACUUGACAUACAAUGGCAAGGAUCCAGGGAACCUGGAAGUUUCUGAGAGAGGUGGCUGCUGUCAUACUCAGAGGACAGAAGCUGUAAAGGAGAGUAUCUGCUCUGAAGGCAUCUUGAAGGAGAGGAAAGGGACCCCACGCCACAGCCUGUCCUUGGAAGUUUCUCCUUUCCCUUCUUUCUUGUGGGUGUCUCUCCCCUCCAGUGCAGCGUUAUUGCAGAUGGGGUGGAGGAACAUGUUCCAGGGAAGAUUUUUUUCAGCGUCGAAAGGAAAUCAGUACUCAGAAAUUUUGCAAGUCACGCAGGAAAGAUGCUCCUUUUGCUUUCACAGAAAUUUUAAAAAGAUACUAUUGUUGUUUCUGAGCUUCAAAUCGGACCUGUUGC